UAAGGAAUAUUGGUCAAUGGACGCGAGUCUGAACCAGCCAUGCCGCGUGAAGGAUGAAGGUCCUCUGGAUUGUAAACUUCUUUUAUCUGGGACGAAAACGGGAUUUUUAUCUCAAUUGACGGUACCAGAGGAAUAAGCACCGGCUAACUCCGUGCCAGCAGCCGCGGUAAUACGGAGGGUGCGAGCGUUAUCCGGAUUUACUGGGUUUAAAGGGUGCGUAGGUGGGCUUAUAAGUCAGUGGUGAAAUCUCCGAGCUUAACUUGGAAACUGCCGUUGAUACUAUAGGUCUUGAAUUACUUGGAGGUAAGCGGAAUAUGUCAUGUAGCGGUGAAAUGCUUAGAUAUGACAUAGAACACCAAUUGCGAAGGCAGCUUACUACAUAUAAAUUGACGCUGAGGCACGAAAGCGUGGGGAUCAAACA
rnacentral:rRNA from 1 species